UUGAGAAUCAGUUCACAGCUCUAUCCACAGAGAACCGACAGCAGGAUGUCUGCAACAAACUGCUCAGAGCUGGAUCUGGAGCUGGGAGACUUGCUGCAGGAGUUUAAUGAUGUUGUGAAGGAGCUGAGCACACCCCAGGCCUCUGAACAUGUGCCGAGAGACGUGAAGAGACACACAGCACUGACUGAUGGAGACGAUUCAGACUACUGCAGCGAGGCUUCGCUGGUAAACAGCUUGAAUGCCAGUCAAGAGGAGCUCAACAUCCCAAGCAUAACCACAGCCCCAAAAGCCAGGCUCGGGGAUACCAGUGACCUACAGAGCUUCAUCGAAAACCUGGAUAGAGAGCUUGCAGAGAUGUGAGAUGACGGGACACACGUGAUCAGAGAGGACUGAGCACCUGAAGAGCUGGCAUUUAGCUUCCACGCAUAGAAAAACACAGCUUGAAGGCCUCAUUUCCCCCCCUUCACUAAGAAAAAAAGCUCACGGUUUGGAAGAAUUACCAAGUUUCUCAGAAGAUGUUUUAUAUGAAAUUUAUAUGAAAAGCACAAUUCCUUGUAAGUUAUGAAGAUUUAUUGUUAAUAGCUAUUUUUCACUUUUUUUUAUGAAGAAUGUAAAAAUAUCAGUGCUACCAGGUU
rnacentral:lncRNA from 1 species